rnacentral:rRNA from 1 species
UACGUAGGGGGCAAGCGUUAUCCGGAUUUACUGGGUGUAAAGGGAGCGUAGACGGAAGCGCAAGUCUGAUGUGAAAAUCCGGGGCCCAACCCCGGAACUGCAUUGGAAACUGUGAUUCUAGAGUGUCGGAGAGGCAAGUGGAAUUCCUGGUGUAGCGGUGAAAUGCGUAGAUAUCAGGAGGAACACCAGUGGCGAAGGCGGCUUGCUGGACGAUGACUGACGCUGAGGCACGAAAGCGUGGGGAUCGGACA